rnacentral:rRNA from 1 species
UACGGAGGAUGCAAGCGUUAUCCGGAAUGAUUGGGCGUAAAGCGUCUGUAGGUGGUUUAUUAAGUCUACUGUUAAAGAUCAGGCUUAACCCUGAGCCGGCAGUGGAAACUAAUAAGCUUGAGUACGGUAGGGGCAGAGGGAAUUCCCGGUCGUAGCGGUGAAAUCGCGUAGAGAUCGGGAAGAACACCAAUGGCGAAAGCACUCUGCUGGGCCGAAACUGACACUGAGAGACGAAAGCUAGGGGAGCGAAUGGG